GGCAAGAUGGCCGAGUUGGUUAUGGCGCCAGGUUAAGGCCUACUCUUAACUGCAGUUUCCUGGUGGAGCAAUCCUCCUGGGUUCGAGUCCCAGUCUUGUCA
rnacentral:tRNA from 1 species